AUUGAACGCUGGCGGCAGGCCUAACACAUGCAAGUCGAACGAGUGGCGGACGGGUGAGUAAUGUCUGGGAAACUGCCUGAUGGAGGGGGAUAACUACUGGAAACGGUAGCUAAUACCGCAUACCAUCGGAUGUGCCCAGAUGGGAUUAGCUAGUAGGUGGGGUAAAGGCUCACCUAGGCGACGAUCCCUAGCUGGUCUGAGAGGAUGACCAGCCAGACCGGGACUGAGACACGGCCCAGACUACUACGGUAGGCAGCAGUGGGGAAUAUUGCACAAUGGGCGCAAGCCUGAUGCAGCCAUGCCGCGUGUAUGAAGAAGGCAUUAGGGUUGUAAAGUACGUUCAGCGGGGAGGCGUUACCCGCAGAAGAAGCACCGGCUAACUCCGUGCCAGCCGCCGCGGUAAUAC
rnacentral:rRNA from 1 species